rnacentral:rRNA from 3 species
AUUCCCCCAGUAGCGGCGAGCGAACGGGGAGCAGCCCAGAGUCUGAAUCAGCUUGUGUGUUAGUGGAACGGUCUGGAAAGUCCGACGGUACAGGGUGAUAGUCCCGUACACCAAAAUGCACAGGUUGUGAACUCGAAGAGUAGGGCGGGACACGUGGUAUCCUGUCUGAAUAUGGGGGGACCAUCCUCCAAGGCUAAAUACUCCUGACUGACCGAUAGUGAACCAGUACCGUGAGGGAAAGGCGAAAAG